rnacentral:rRNA from 1 species
UACGAAGGGGGCUAGCGUUGCUCGGAAUCACUGGGCGUAAAGGGUGCGUAGGCGGGUUCUUUAAGUCGGAGGGUGAAAUCCUGGAGCUCAACUCCAGAACUGCCUUUGAUACUGAGAUCUUCGAGUUCGGGAGAGGUGAGUGGAACUGCGAGUGUAGAGGUGAAAUUCGUAGAUAUUCGCAAGAACACCAGUGGCGAAGGCGGCUACUGGUCCCGGUACUGACGCUGAGGUGCGAAAGCGUGGGGAGCAAACAGGG